CUCACACUCCAAGGUGGACGUGGCCAGCUUUAUUGCUCCUACACACACAAGAAAGAAAAUAACACUACUAAUUUUCUUAUUACCUUCAGACCCUUUUAAAGUAUUCUUCCCUCUUCCCCUUCCAAACCCCUCCCCAGCCUUCUCCAACUCCUGUGAACGAUUUCUCCUGAUUAUCGCUUCCUCACAGGACUGCUCUCCUCCUCCAGGUUUGUUUGUUAACGCCGACCUUGCUUCAGGAGAAAAUGAAUACUCCUCCACAAUAUUCUCCCAUAAUCAGACAUCAUAAAAUGUUGCAGUGGAAUUCCUCAGAAAAAUAUACAUGGAUUUGUGUGCAGCUCCUCACCCCGCCACUGUGUUUUCUGCACAAAGGACAUCACUAUCAUUAUUCUCAAUAAUAAAGAAAAGAAAAUCCUGCCAGCCACAACACUAUUACCCAGUGGGGAUCCUUGCAAAGAAGAUGGAAGAUAUCUUCUCAGCCUUGUGGGUUCUCCCUUCGAAAAAAGAAAGGAUGUAUUUUGAAGUUUGCAUGAAAAGUGUCACAUCCUUCAGUUUUCAGGAACCCACUUACUUAUGUUUUGAGUAUGUUAUUGAUAAACCUAGAAAAGGUACUGAGGAAAGGAGAAAACAAAAGAUGUUGCUGAAACAACCCACAGCUCCAAACAACGUGGCAGUGUUUAGAGGUGGAAGGAUUUUAACAACUUUUGGAAGGCCAUUGAUUCCUAAGCUCCACAUUAUGAGUUUUUAUAUUGAAAUACAUUUGUCAUUAUAAAGCCCUUACAGGCCAUUUACAGGCAUCAUUUUGAAACUCCUCAAAUUUCUCAAAUAACUUAGUGUUAUUCACAAACCUAGCCGCCUCACUACUUACUUUUCCUAACUGCAGAUCAUUUCUUAACAACUUUAAAAGCAUUGAUCCCAUUACAGGACAAUACCUCUGUUGUGUGAACUUUCCAUGUUGUCCUACCUUCUAUUUCCUUUUCUUUAACUUGUUUGCUGAGAAGUUGUAUUAUGGAACAUUAAUAGGCUAAAGAAUAAGACCUCUCCUUUCAUGACGACUAUGCUGAUUCUGCAUCAGCAAUAAUGGUCCUUCUGUUUUAAUCGUAUCCAACUAUUUUGGCCCACAAGGCUGCAUUUGAGGCAUGCUGAGCACACAGGGGCUUCACACAUGCAACAAGCACACAAAAACAUGCAAUUUUUCUUUUCUGUAAUACUUCAUUAACAAGCUUUAAAAGCUCACAUCAGUUAUUUUCAUGUGUAUUCAAAAGCAAGCUGCAAUGCAAUAGAUUUCUAAAACACACAGAAUGUAUCUCAAUAUAUUCAAAGAACAAGACAAUUAAAAUGCAAUUGUCUAUGAAACUUCCCAAUUGCUGAUUACUGAUUGGAGAUAAGAACAGGUUUCUCAGCUUAGCAUUUGAAGA